rnacentral:lncRNA from 1 species
UUUUUAAUUAUGAAAUAAUUCUAUAGCUCUAGAAACUUGUUCAUGAUAAAGACUGUAUAUGGUUUGCUCUCUCAACUUUGAACUGAUUUAAUGGAUUCUCCAUAUGGGGGAAAAUGAAGGUGAAAAUUAUGGCUGGUCACAUGCAUAUGGCCAUUCCAUGCUACCUUGUGAUGGUUUACAUGUUGUCAAGAUUAACAGCACCUGGAUGGGAAGAUGUGAUUAUCUAGUUUUAUUAUGAAAGGAAAGUUGGCUUAAACUUUACUCCUUGCGCGGUUACAUGAUUUACCUUUCAUCCAUCCGCCCCAGUUUAGGUCUUUAUUUUGUUUAUGUGGGGUUCUGAGCAUGUAACUUUUUACCCGUUUAUUUUUGCUGCAAAUCUAUUCUUGUUGCACAAAUGGUUCAACAGUGUUUUAAAAUUGGAAGUUUCCUCGAUCACACACUUUGU